CUGAAGUGAGUCUUCAUCAUUGAAGCUUCUUCCCAUUGUGCUGGCUUUGACCGUAUGUACUGUUGGGGAUUAAACAUGGUUAGAUUUAUCUAGCCGUCCCCAACAAUUUAUCUUAUCCUUUAUUAAAUUGAACUGAACUCAUUUUGAGAUUACAUAAAACAUAAUCUUUUAAUA
rnacentral:misc_RNA from 2 species